rnacentral:lncRNA from 1 species
AUUCUCCAAUUUCUUUUAAAGACUGUGAAUCAUUCACCGCUUUCUUCCAUUUCGUUUAAAGGCGGUGAAUCGUUCGCCGCAUUCAUUAAAAUUGUGCGUGGAUUAUAUAGGAAAUAAAAAAGUGAGGUUGUUAGGAUUAUUUGUGGAUUAUUAAAAUUUUUAUUUCAUUGUUAGGAUUGUAUGGAUAGAUUAUUAGAAUUUUCAGGUUGUUAAGAUUAUAUGAAAUUGUAUGGAUAGACUGUUAGGAUUUUCAGGCUGUUAAAAUUAUAUGAAAUUGUAUGGAUAGACUAUUAGAAUUUUCAAGCUGUUAAGAUUAUAUGAAAUUGAAUAGACUAUUAGAAUUUUCAGGCAAUUAAGAUUAUAUACGAUUUGUUAAAAUUUUUAUGCGGUUGUUGGAAUUAUAUAUGGGAUAUAGAAAGAAAUAGUAAAAUGUAACAUAUCGGAUUUUGAUAUAAAAGUAAAAAAUAAAUAAAAAUAGUAUGAGAUACUAUUUUUAUUGGAUUUAGAGAAGUAAAAUAUAAGUUAGAAAUAACUUGUGCUGAAAUCGGAACAAAAACAGAAGAUUUAGAAUUUUCUGUGAGAGACGGGGCUUAUAUUUUAGCAGAAAAUGCACAGUGUCAGAAAAUCACGAAAACUGAAGAAUACGUCAGAAAUAUUUUUAUGAGGCUAGAUU